rnacentral:lncRNA from 1 species
CGAGCUCCACACUGUCAUCCAGGCUGGAGUGCAGUGGCACUAGCUGGUUUAAUUAGGCAGCAGGCCCUUAAUUGUAUGAGAUUGAAGCUACUAGCUCUGGGCUAUGCAGGCAGGAAGCCCCGGCUAGACCCUGAAACCAAUCUGUCUUCCCUCACCCCACCGCCUCCUCACUGAAGGCCAGAGCUGGCCUUCAACUGUCCAAGGGCUGCUCUGCUCUGGACUCUCUCACUGGUAAGAUGUGUUACCAUGGGUGCACCACUUCACCCAAAUGAGCCACAAUCUCUCACUAGGAAGAAGGAGGCCAUGAGUCCUGCCUGUUGGGGCUCCCGGGGUGGUCGAGUAGCACCGGGCAUGCUUGGGGCAUAUGCAUAAGGAGGGCCAACACUGUGCGUUAUCAAGUGUUACAUGUUCAUGUGUUUAUCCAU